rnacentral:rRNA from 1 species
UGAGGAAUAUUGGUCAAUGGACGCAAGUCUGAACCAGCCAAGUAGCGUGCAGGAUGACGGUCCUAUGGGUUGUAAACUGUUUUUAUAUGGGGAUAAAGUGGGGAACGUGUUCCCUUUUGCAGGUACCAUAUGAAUAAGGACCGGCUAAUUCCGUGCCAGCAGCCGCGGUAAUACGGACGGUUCGGGCGUUAUCCGGAUUUAUUGGGUUUAAAGGGAGCGUAGGCCGUUUGGUAAGCGUGUUGUGAAAUGUAGGAGCUCAACUUCUAGAUUGCAGCGCGAACUGUCAGGCUUAAGUGCGGAGAACGUAGGCGGAAUUCAUGGUGUAGCGGUGGAAUGCUUAGAUAUCAUGAAGAACUCCGAUUGCGAAGGCAGCUUACGGGAGCGCAACUGGCGCUGAAGCUCGAAGGUGCGGGUAUCGAACAGG